GCAAAUGUCCUAUUUAGGACGAACGCCUUCUGAUUUUUUGUGAUGAACAAAAACCCUGUCAAGUUUCUUAUUGUUCCCUUGAUGGCCCUCAUUAACCCUCUAAGAAGAGCAUCACUUCCCAGUAUAUAUGGUGAACUGAGCUAAAAUAAAAUUCAAGGUUCAAGUGUUUCUGGUUGGUGACAAAAAAAUGUUAAAGUAGUUUUGGCUAGUUUGUCAUGUAUGAAUGUUGACUACCUUAACAUUAUUACUAGGCAAACUAUCGUUUUGAAAGAUUAUUAAGCAAGGUAAAUUGGUGCUGCUUCUAUGACAGGUUUGGUUGGUCUAUAUAAUGAUCUAGGCUUACUUUGGGACUUCAAUUCAAUCAAUUGUAUCAAUGACCUUUUGCAUUAAAGGACAAUUUUUUGUCUGUCUGUGAAACAAGCUGGGACGAGGAGCUCAAGAAUUUGCUAAUUAGUUUGUAUCCCGUUUGAUCCUAUUGUUGUCAUGGAAUUGCUUUAUCACAUGACUGAUUUGGGUGUGGCUAAGUGGGCCGAGGAACUUCAAAUUCCAUACUUGAGACCGAUCAAAAUAAAGAAAAGGGAUUUUGCAAAGGAAGCAUCAGCAACAGCUGAGGACCAUCUUGCAUGCCAAACUUAAAGACACUUUGGGGCUGACUGGAGUGUCCCAAGGAAGUUUUGAUGCUUCUAAAUAUUCAAAUACUUGAUCUGAUCUCAACAUCACAUCCCUAAAUGAUUGUAAAUUUGUUCGACGCGGUUGCAUUCUAAUGAUAUCACUUCGGAAUUGAUGAGGCUCUGUAGAGGGAGGUAUGCACUGCUAGGCUCCUCCAUUUCUAUUAGUUUAUUUGUGUGAUGAUAUCCUUUGAAUGUUGUCAUAUAGGUUUCUGAUUUGAUAAGCUCAGUUAUGAUGUAUGCGGCAUUGGAUUUGUAAAGUUGAAAUUGACCUCCUCACAAACUCUCCCGCAUUGCUAAUUUUGCUAAUUGGAACUUGCAAAAUAACCCAGUAGCAAAUGCAUCUUUCUGUUCUGUAGUUUAGGCACUUCACCUUUUCAGCAUUAUUUUUUUAGCUUCAAUUUUGUUCCUAAACACAAACAGGGAAAGUGUUUCUAAAUGUUUACUUCUUUAAAGUCUGUUGGUUUCUUUGUCAUUGGCCAUCUAAUGAAGUCUCUGUUCAUUGUGGUCCAACUCCGAUUGGUGUCAAUGUUUACGCAUUUUUACCUUAUCUGUCAUGGGGUAAAUUCUGAUGCUAUGAUCUUGGAUAUCUUCAUUUAAUUAUAAUUAGUUAGUGCUAUCUUCCUUAUGCAGAUUAAAGCUGCAUUUGAUGAAACUCGGAGAAACUCCCCAAACACCAUGGGUUGGAGAUACGGGCAAGAAUGAGCUAUGUCAGUAUGGAAAGGCAUUCCAAAGUUAUUUGCAAUUGGCAUUUAUCAUUUGCUCCAUGUUGUUAAUACUCUUCGAAGGAUUCUUGAUAAAGGCGACCUCUUCUCA